rnacentral:misc_RNA from 1 species
UGCAAGUAGUAAGAGAUGAAAUCAUUUUAUUAAAUUCAGAUGCAAAGCGCGUUGAAAAAAAAACUCGACAUCUGUCGAUUGAUUUUGAAGCUGAGUCAUGGCAAAAAAUUGCAAGUUGCUUACCUAAUGUAUCAAAGAUGAGAACAUUUACAUCAUUUGAUUGGCCAAAAAAGCAUGCUAUUAAAGAAGUAGAAUGCGAAGAAAUUUUUUUUAAAUUAAGUUAUGUAAGGGUAUUGAGUUUAUGUGAUUUGGGAAUUAAGAAAGUGCCACGUUCUAUUCAUAAAUUGAAGCACAUAAGAUUUCUUAGUCUUUCGGAUAAUAAAGACAUUGAAAUCCUUCCUGAUUGCAUUAUUAAACUUCAAAACCUGCAAACUUUGUACCUAUUCCACUGUGAAAGGCUUAAGCAGUUACCUAAGCAUAUAAAAAAGUUGGUCAAUCUCCAACACCUUUACCUUCGGGGAUGUGUUAGUUUGACUCAUAU